UUAAGUUCAGCGGGUAUCCCUACCUGGUCCGAGGUCAAAAGUUAGAAUUUGUACUUGCUGGAUGCCAACAAUCAUUGACUAGAAGCGCAAAAUGUGCUGCGCUCCAAGGCCAAUAUGCCGGCUGCCAAUCGCUUUAAGGCGAGUCCACACGCAAAAAGGCGGGACAAACACCCAACACCAAAGCAGGGCUUGAGGGUACA
rnacentral:misc_RNA from 1 species